rnacentral:rRNA from 1 species
AUUGAACGCUGGCGGAAUGCUUUACACAUGCAAGUCGAACGGCAGCACGGGAGCUUGCUCCUGGUGGCGAGUGGCGAACGGGUGAGUAAUGCGUCGGAACGUACCGAGUAAUGGGGGAUAACGCAGCGAAAGCUGUGCUAAUACCGCAUACGCCCUGAGGGGGAAAGUGGGGGAUCGCAAGACCUCACGUUAUUCGAGCGGCCGACGUCUGAUUAGCUAGUUGGUGGGGUAAAGGCCUACCAAGGCGACGAUCAGUAGCGGGUCUGAGAGGAUGAUCCGCCACACUGGGACUGAGACACGGCCCAGACUCCUACGGGAGGCAGCAGUAGGGAAUUUUGGACAAUGGGGGCAACCCUGAUCCAGCCAUUCCGCGUGAGUGAAGAAGGCCUCGGUUGUAAGACUCUUCUAGCU